rnacentral:lncRNA from 1 species
CGCAGGAAGACUUCGUCCGGACUCCUACAGGAGCCGGACUUCGCCCCCGACUUCAAUUGUAGGUAGACGUCGCCCGGACUCCUAUGGGAGCCGGACCUCAUCCCCGACUCCAGCUGCAGGAAGACUUCAUCCGGACUCCUACGGGAGUCGGACUUCAUCCCCGACUCCGACUGCAGGAAGACUUCGUCCGGACUCCUACGGGAGCCGGACUUCAUCCCC